CUGGCCUUUCCUCCGGUAGGUUGGCAGAGCACGGUUUGGCAGCCCGAGCACACGACAACGGUCUGGGAGUGGCUGAACACAGUUGUACUGUAAUUGCAGAAAAGAAAGUUGUAAGGAUCUUAUCAAGUAGUCAUGGAGUUGAUGUAUGAUGCAAGUUAAUGAGAAUAGUAUAUGACUGAGGCAGAAACAACAUGCUAUAUCAACAUAAUUCAGAACAGGGAGACACAAACAGGGACCACA